AAUUAUUAGUCUUCAACGAGGAAUGCCUAGUAAGCGCAAGUCAUCAGCUUGCGUUGAUUACGUCCCUGCCCUUUGUACACACCGCCCGUCGCUCCUACCGAUUGGGUGUGCUGGUGAAGUGUUCGGAUUGGCAGCUUAGGGUGGCAACACCUCAGGUCUGCCGAGAAGUUCAUUAAACCCUCCCACCUAGAGGAAGGAGAAGUCGUAACAAGGUUUCCGUAGGUGAACCUGCGGAAGGAUCAUUG
rnacentral:rRNA from 1 species